rnacentral:rRNA from 1 species
AUUGAACGCUGGCGGCAGGCCUAACACAUGCAAGUCGAGCGGAUGACGGGAGCUUGCUCCUUGAUUCAGCGGCGGACGGGUGAGUAAUGCCUAGGAAUCUGCCUGGUAGUGGGGGACAACGUUCCGAAAGGAACGCUAAUACCGCAUACGUCCUACGGGAGAAAGCAGGGGACCUUCGGGCCUUGCGCUAUCAGAUGAGCCUAGGUCGGAUUAGCUAGUAGGUGAGGUAAUGGCUCACCUAGGCGACGAUCCGUAACUGGUCUGAGAGGAUGAUCAGUCACACUGGAACUGAGACACGGUCCAGACUCCUACGGGAGGCAGCAGUGGGGAAUUUUGGACAAUGGGCGAAAGCCUGAUCCAGCCAUGCCGCGUGUGUGAAGAAGGUCUUCGGAUUGUAAAGCACUUUAAGUUGGGAGGAAGGGCAGUAAGUUAAUACCUUGCUGUUUUGACGUUACCGACAGAAUAAGCACCGGCUAACUCUGUGCCAGCCGCCGCUGUAA